CGUUUUGGCCACCAGCGAGCCCCAAUACAAAGUUGCGCCGUCCACCACCGCCCAAACCACCAGAAGCCUUCACGUGUCCCUGCCCCGCCUCUGUGCUCGCUGCAGCUCAUCGUCGUGGCCUGAGCUGCGCAGAGCAUGCUCUAUGUAGUCGUCGCGCCCGAGCAGUGUCGUUCCAUUGAGCGGCGCCAUCACCGCAAAUUAGAGCAAGCUUAGAGGUAAAACGGAGCCCCCUUGAGAUGUUGUAGCUAUCCCAUUCACCGUAACCCCCUCCUGAUCGCUCUGGCUCGCCGUGAUCAGCGUCGAAGUUAAGACAGCUUCGAUACUCCCCUGCAAGCCUAUAAAUAGAGGGUACUGAGUGCACCCUCAGCCGCGGCUCCACUCCACACCUCACCAGAGCCGCGCCCAACCCCUCGGAGGAUCUCGAGAGAGUCAUAUUCUCCACCUGCGGCCGCCCCGAUCAGCUUUGGGCUCUGGCAAAAUUCUCUAAGGUGAGCUAGCCCUUGCAGCCCUAAUUUUGCGAGUAGGAUCUAUGAGCAUCCGCCCAUCUAAGCCCUGCCUCAAUUCGGAGUUUGCAGCCCCCUCCGUCGAGAUCAGCCAAUUCGCGAAACCACUGUCCACCAAAGUGAGAGUAGCCACCGACGUGGUGCUCGCCAACAACCUCUUGCACCUCCCUCGGUUGCGGAAGGCCUCGGUGAGUGCACCCGCUCCUUUUCCCCCUUUCUUUCGUAGUGGCACGUCGCUGGUGCCGUCGCGAUGCCUCUGCCACCGGCGAGGAGAUUCGAACAUGACAGUGUUGGCCCACUCUUGGGAUUUUUUAUUUUCGGAAUCAUUUUCUAGAGGCCCCUUUCACAAUAAUGUGUUUUUUCUGUUGACUUUCGCAUUUUUGUCGAACCGUUUUAUUCUUUUCGAGUCUGGUAUUUGUGUGGCAUAGAUACCGAAGGGGAGACGCUGUCGUCAACUUCACCGAGCUAGACUCCGACUUCGCCGACCCAAGCAAGCAUGUUUUUAUGUUUGAUGUGAUGUUUGCUGAUAUGAUUGUUUGAUAACUUUGAUGCAUCAUAACCUACAACAUGGCAUGUCGCAUGAUUUCCCACAUGGAUAUACUAACAACUCAUGAAAUGAUGAGAGGUCGUGGACAUCCUAGUGACGUGGGACGUGAUAGGUUGUGACCUGGUCCUGCGAGAUACACGACAGUAUACGGAUAAAAAUUAAACCUCCAGUAUCGGCAUAGAUCGAGUUUUGUCAAUGUGUCACCUUAUUUCUUUGUACUGCCACAGGUCUUACCGAAAGGGAAUAUGGUUGAGUAGGUCAUAAUCUUAACUCCAUGUGCACGCCAAGUAGAGGGGCCAAGUGAUGGUUAAACCGCCCUCGAAGAAUGCUAGUCAUCCGGUCAGGGGGCAUGAGUGUUUCCGGUCUAGGAUCGAGAGGGGGCACUCCCUUGUAGCGCACAAUAUAAAUUUGGUCCCAUACUAAUCGAGGAUGUUGGCCUCCCCGUCUUAUGGUUUUUCCCCUGGAAGCGUAGUGUGGGUGAUUCCGGACCACCCUAGGUAAAAAUGGGUGUGUGUUAGUUUUGUGUGUUUACUUCUAAAAUACCAUACACGGGAUUAGUCCUUCCGGUUAUGGAAAACCGUUGGCUAUGGGUAAAGAGUACACCCUGUGUAGAGUCAAAACUACUUAAGUAGCCACGUAAACGGUCAAGGAUGACUGGUUGACAGGUCAAGUGCGGGUCUUCAUGUCGGUCUCUCGAGAACAAGUUAUUACUUAUGAAAGCCCUUAUUUGUGGUAUCUGACGGUGAUUUUUGAAACUAACCCGAUGAGACUUUGAUUAUGUUGAAUAUCCCGAAGGUUAGUUGUACCACCCGGAUAUUCAUUUAUUAUAUUAUGCCUUUCCGUGGUGUCGUUGAGACGCCCGACUAUGUCCACUAUAUAUUUUAUUACGCCCUUUCUGUGGUGUCGCUGAGAUGCCCAUGUGUGGCCAGCAUUUAUUUUCUUACGCCCUUUUCGUGGUGUCGCUAAGACGCCCGACUGUGUCUAGUAUUUAUUUUAUUAUACCCUUUCCGUGGUUGUGUAUAGACGUCCGACUUUGGCUUGUUAAUUUAUUAUUAAGCCUUGUAUUCGGUGUCGCUUAGACGCCCGGUGGUGGCAGUUUAUUUUUAUUUGUUAACCUUUUCAGGCGUCGCUUCACACACCCGAUCGGUGCAUUUUACAUUCUUCAAAAUUUCGGGAGGACUACUGCCCGACUUAUCUACCAUGACUUAACUUACUGCUAAACUGUUCACCAUGAUAAUUGUGAUAAUUAACCAUGCAUAUGUAAUUGAUCGCAUUCAUCUUAUAUUAUGUGCAAACAGUCUUGCUAGUACUUUCAAAAUACUCACUUGCUUGUUGAUGUGGCCAGAUAUGGAUGAAGCUGAUCUCAUGGAUUAAGAGUAAGAUAGCGAGUUCAACACCUAGACGAGUCCCAUUCAGUCUUGCGAUCUUGGAGUCCCUCCUUGUAUUAUUCCACCGCUUCCGCCACCAAGAAUAAUUGUCAAUCCUAACCUUGACACUUGGCAUGUAGUAGUAAUUUAACCGUGUCGCUUCACUCCGAGGUGAGAAGCCCGCCUACCAAUGCGAGUAGUAGUAUUACACAUGACCAUUGUGAGAUGACCGCCUUUAAGCCAAAUAUUGGAGUGUUUGUAAUAAACUAUUGAGCGGCCUCCGCUCUACCCUGUUUAAUAUUAAGUACUACUGGUUUUUCUAUAUCAAGUUGGUCUAAGAGUGUGAAUUAUUUUCUAUGUUGGAUGACAUUCAUGGAUGAUUUCCUAUAAUUAUAUUAUUUGGAAACCAGUCCUCACAACCUUGGUAUCAGAGCCAGGAUGACUUUAGGACGCCACUAGGUGCGAUCGCUAGCCGAUUAACUAAUUAGGUUAAUUUGAGUGUUCUACAUGCUGUAGAAUUUGUUAUGCUAGUCAACAUAUAUUUAUGUUAUAACUAUCUACAAAUUUUUGUCUAUUGUGUAGAUGGCUGGCAAGGCUUGUCCGUCACAACUAUUUGCUAACGAGCCGACGGAAUUUUCACGACUCCUCUCCAUCAUUGUCAGGAUCGUGACUGGACCAACGACUCGUACCAAGUACACGCUCUACCACCACAGGAUUAGCGACUCAUUGACUAUGCGUAAGGCCUCGGUACAGUUCAAAGGUGGACGCAUCAAGACCCACCCUCUUCGCUUUGUCGGGGGAGCCAUGCCUACGGAGAGGCACGCUAUGCAGAUGGCUGUUAGGGAGGCAAUUGCAUGCCUCCGAGGCAUCCUUCCGGUGAUGAAGACUCAUCCUUAUCACUACCUGUUACCUCUUUAGCUUGCGUUGGUUUUCCCUUGAAGAGGAAAGGGUGAUGCAAUGAAGUAGAUAAGUAUUUCUCUUAGUUUUUGAGAACCAAUGUAUGAGUCCAGUAGGAGGAACAAGCAAGGCCCCAAUAGUAGUACCGACACAAAUAAUCAAACUCUUGCACCCAACGCUAUAAAGGGGUUGUCAAUCCCUUCAGAGAUAUUUGCAAGGAUGAGAUCUGAUAGAGAUAGAUAUAAAAGAUUGCGGAAACAAAAAUAAAUAAAUUGCAG
rnacentral:lncRNA from 1 species